rnacentral:lncRNA from 1 species
UUGUGAAAUCAUUUAUCAACUGAGCUUUAUUUGUCCUUUUAGGAAUAAAAGGUGGAUUUUCAUAUGAUGCUGAGCACAGAAAGUAUGCUGCCUUAGCAAUGAGCUGAUGAUAUCAUCUUCAUCAUUACUGAUUGCRCUAUUCGGAGAGAAGCUAACAUUCGGUUUGGCUGAGUGAGUGGAGAUAUCUCUGAACUGACUAGAAUGUAAUUUCUGUAAGAUGUUGGUUGGUUUGUAGUAGUCUUAUCUGAGUGAACAAUCAAUCCUAGUUGAGAUUGGACCCAUAUAUCUCAUGCAUACAUUGAAUUUGUAUAUCUGUUGGAUCUGAAGCUGUCAAAAUUCUAAAUAAUUUUAUAGCCCUGUUGUUUGAAUUGUAGCUGAAUGCUGACCUUUGUAAAGCCAACCACAUCCAAGCAGAUAUAACUACAAUAUUCCCAAAUCUGGGAAUCUGCUUCACCUGCCUCUACUUGCUUUUAUUUAGGACUUUUCUUAUAUCCUUGGAAGCUGCGACUUUCUGACCAUACCCACUUSAGAUGUUUCUGGAGAAUCUGUUCUCAGCUGUUGAGCUGCUUUGCUGCUUUGUGUUCCUCAAGCGUUGCACUGAGAGGGGUGGAUGCACAAGAAUGUGGGGUGUGAGUAGACCUAUCUCCAUUAAUGUGCAGCACAACUUCGUUGUAUCUUUUCUUUGCUACUACUGCCAUGGAAAAUGUAUUUCUUAAUUGUAUUCUUUGGAGGCUUAAAAUUAAAAUCAUCUAAAACAUUUACAAUGGCAGAAGAAAGUCUAUUAAACAACAGCAGGUGAAAAUCUAAGAGCUAUUUUAAGGUAAAUGUUGCCCACAUCAAUUUGUAUCCCAGAAGUGUGAAACCGUGUUUCGAAUCAUCUUGCAGUCCUGAUUAGACAAUGAUUUUUUUCCAUGUGRUAAUCUGUUUCGGAGUGAAAUGGAAAAGCCUUGUGCUGCACACCAUUCCUGKGCAUUUAAACUAGCUCAGGCUGUGGCUGUGCAUUGGAAAGUAGGCAAUGAAAGGUACAGGUUUGCAGGUUUCUGUAGUUUGCUAUCUUUAUGCCUUUGACUUUCGARCAGCUGCUCACACUCUC